rfam:Schistosoma rodhaini strain Burundi genome assembly, scaffold: SROB_scaffold0013227
AUCCAGCUAACGAGUCCCCAAUAGGACGAAACGCGCGUCCUGGAU